ACACCACCUCCCAAGAUCUUUUCAGUACCACGUGAUGCAGCAGGAAGAAAGAAGAAACAAAAUAAAAGAAAAAAAAAUCAAAAUACGUGGAUCAGCCACAAAAGGGCUCGCCUCCACGGGGCAUGCAAACUUCAUUAUGAAAAAAAAAAUUUUACAAGAGAAGACAUCACCCUCAACCCUUGUACACCCAAUUCUCUCUCACCUGAAGUUUCCCUCACAAAAGCUCUCUCUCUCUCUUGGAGACCCUCC
rnacentral:lncRNA from 1 species